UGGACUUCCGAUCCCAGUGAAGGGUCCGAUCCCAGUGAAGGGUCCGAAGGAGAAAAGCCAGGAGGAAGUGUUCAUCACAAGGCAGGUGAGUGUCCAGGAGACAAAGGACAACAAAAAAAGGAAGAAGUAAGGUGGCCAUGAAGCAGAAAGUCCAAGAGUAGUCAUGAGGAGCAGGUCACCCGCUGAUUCGUCACAAGAACACACAUGGAGCAGAGGAAGCCAGGACAAGACAACUACAAGUGCUGUUGCUGCAGGAGGAGAGACUAUCUGGCUUUGCCUCUAUUCAGAUUUACUCCUAGCAUCCAAGACAAGCGGAGCAGAAAGACUAAAUGAACCUGUUCUUACCUGCUGACUGUGCACAACUCCCCCCCCAAAAAAAGAAGCAUCGUUGUAUGGCAAGACAUGACAUUCCCCAAAGGCCAAAUGUUCAGGAAUCAGGAUGUGACUAACUGACAGUCAAAAUGAUGCUGAUAACAACAAGCGACAAUAGUAACCAGAAGAAAUGACCUCCAUGAUAGUAACAGUAACAGUACUGGAGGAGGCAUGGGAGCCAACGUUGCUAUGGAAACUGAGUGGAGGGGUGAAAGGCGUCAAUGGAAUGUGGUGUUCCUGGAGAGCAUGAGCACAUUGUAGUGCAUCCUAAGUAUGAUUCAGAUAAGUAGCAAUAAUGUGAAUAGUAGAGGGAGGGGGUGGGAGGCAGUGCAGGGUGAGGAGCUGGGGACUUGCCUCUAGGCUGUCUCUGACAAACAGCACCCACCACCCUUUCAGGAAGGAGUCUGAGAAGAUUCUUUGUAGCAAAUAAAUGCAGCAAAAUAAAA